UUCACGCAUCUGGAGAGGUCAAUUCCACAGCCAUUCAUCACACAUCCCCAUGACACCGGGCAGCCGGGCGCCGGUGUACUGCCAGAAGGUCAUGGCCCAGGGAGGCCAGGCCUCAGUCUUGUCUGCUCUGGACUGGGGGUGGGAUCCCAUUCUCAAUUGGUGUGGUCCUCAGGCCCACAGUGCUGCCCUUGGCCUGGUCUUCACUUCUGAGCAAUAGUCAUCUGCUGACGUUUCCACUGCCGACCAGAGUGAGUGACGGACAUCUGGCAUGGCUUCAACUCUCAGUCCCCAUAAUCAAGGCUAUGACAAGGAUCUUUAUGCACUUUCCCUUAGAGACCAGUGUGAGAAUUUCUCUGCAGGCAUUCCCAGAAAUGUGAUUCCUGGGUCCGAGAUAAGUGCAUUCGACCAAGUAUUGCUGGAUUGCCCUAAACAAUGGGGCUGCCCCCGUCUACACUCUUGCUGCCAUCACACGAUGGUCCUGUAUUCCCUACAACCCUGCCAUGACCUGUCAUCACCCAGCUGUCUAAUUUUUGUCAAGUUGGAUGGGUAUAGUGUCAUAAUUCACCAUAGUUUUUAUUUUAUAUCUCUGAUUAAACAAGUCCCAGCAUUUCUUCAUUUGCUCACCAUUUUGGGUUUCCUCUCGUAUGAACUGACUAUUCAUACUUUUUGAUCUAUUUAUCGAUUAGGUUUUUUAAAAAUUAAUUUGAAAAAAUCCCUUAGGCAUUGUAGAUAUUUGUACCAUGUCAGGUUUAGAUAUUUAAAAUGUAUUUUCCUGAUUUGUCAUUUGCCUUUUGUGUCCAUGAUUUUUUUUAUUAAGUGGAAAUCCUUAAUUUUGAUAUAGUCAAGGAAGUGUAACUUUGGAUAGUGUCUUCCUGGGAAGAAGAGGUGGAAGUUUGGGAGUGAGUUUUCAUGUGAAGGGCCAUCUUAUCUAAGGAAAGGUUAAAAAUAAUUGAGAUUUUUUUGGGGAGGGGGUUCAGGGAAGGAAAGAUAAGAUAUAAAUGGUAAGAUAGCUAUUUUUUUCUAAAGGACUGUAAGUCAAAGAACUUUUUUACUUAGUCCAUCCUCAGGUAGAAAGGAUUGCCCUGUGAGAUGAGCUGUUUGUUCUCUGAGAUGGCCAAGCACAGGGUGGGUGAAUGCCAGAAUGCCCUUGACCAAGGGUAAGAGUCAAUGAGCCCUGACAUUUCUGGCAGUUCUGAGAGUUUGUGAAUGGGGUGGAAUGAAGAGGGAGGGAAUUUGCAUGAAGAUAGUUCUUUCCUUUAAACAAGCAAUUCAUCAUUCCUGUGUUAAUGCUCACCUGGCUAAGCUAGUCUUCCCAGCAUCUGUCAACAGCAGUAACAUUUCAUGCUGUCCCUCAUCCCCACCCCUAACUUACACAGGCAGAACACAUUAACCUUGUGGACAUGGUAUUGGCAAGUCUUUUCUGUGACAAUAUUUUUUUGAAACUCACAAUUUAAUUGAGACUUCCAAAUGGCUCUCCUAAUUGUAGGUGUGAGAAGGAAGGAGUGAAGGUAAGGUGUUGCCUAUACCCUAGUGCAGUUAUAAGAUGGGCCAAAAGGCAGUCUUUGUCUUUUAUUCAUUCAUUCAUUCGUUUCCUUAUACAUUGGCAAGUGCCUCCUCUAUGUCAGGCCCUGGACCCAGCCCCAGAGACACAAGAGUGAGCAAAACAGCCACUGUCCUACCCUCACAGAGCUUAGAGCCUAGAGGGACAGACAUCUACUUAACACCAAAUGUACAAAUCUGUGUUCAUAUUUCUACCUGUCUUCUCCCUUUAAAAUUAGUGAAAUAAAAAAAAAAAAAAGAAAUGCAAAUCAGAAUAGAAUAAAAAUACCAUUUUCAUCUGUUGUAGUGGCAAACAUCCAGAAAUUUAUUGGUGAGGCUGUGGGACAGUAGGCCUUCUCAUACAGUGCUGGUAGGAAUGCAGACUAAAGCAGCUCCUAGGAGGGGAACUUGCUCUAUCCACUGGAAAAGUCUGGAAACAGUAGUCAACCUGGUAGCAAUGAGUUUCACUAGUACCAGAUUGUAGUCUCUAAGUAUUAUUUCCCGUUAAGAAGACCCAGAGGCCCUUGGAGAAAUGGCAGCUUGUGGUCUAGAGCAAGAUGAACAUGGAACAUCUUAUUGCACCAAAAAGCAAGAAAGCCAUCAAACAAUUGGAUAUUAUUCCAAAAGACUCAGGAAUCAUCUGGGAGGGACUACAUCUGGCCAAAGAUGAGGCAAUUUGAUUGUCAAAAAGAUUAAUGACUUCAGCGGUUUGAGAUACAUCAGUUAUCUUUACAUUUAUAGUUUAUGAUAAUACUAAAUUUCUAAAAUCUCACUGGUCAGCUUUGGAGGGUACCAGGAAACCAUUCAGUAUUUUAAAGGGGCUCCUGGGUGGUUCAGUUGGUUAAGCAUCUGACUCUUGGUGUCAGCUCAGGUCGUGAUCUCAUGGA